rnacentral:rRNA from 1 species
UCGGCUAACUCCGUGCCAGCAGCCGCGGUAAUACGGAGGAUGCGAGCGUUAUCCGGAUUUAUUGGGUUUAAAGGGUGCGUAGGCGGAAUGAUAAGUCAGUGGUGAAAUGUUGCAGCUCAACUGUAAAAUUGCCAUUGAUACUGUUAUUCUUGAGUGUAGAUGAGGUAUGCGGAAUGAGUAGUGUAGCGGUGAAAUGCAUAGAUAUUACUCAGAACACCAAUUGCGAAGGCAGCGUACUAAACUACAACUGACGCUGAAGCACGAAAGCGUGGGUAUCAAACAGGAUUAGAUACCCUGGUAGUCCACGCUGUAAACGAUGAUUACUGGUUGUUUGCGAUA